AACCCAUGGUGAGGACACCUUCUCAAUAAAUCCUUAUACCUCUCCCAUGCAUCAUAUAAGGUUUCUAAAUCCAUUUGCACAAAGGAAGAGAUAUUAUUCCUCAGUUU
rfam:Gossypium hirsutum cultivar TM-1 chromosome 4, whole genome shotgun sequence